rnacentral:rRNA from 1 species
GACGAACGCUGGCGGCGUGCUUAACACAUGCAAGUCGAACGAAGAGCGAUGGAAGCUUGCUUCUAUCAAUCUUAGUGGCGAACGGGUGAGUAACGCGUAAUCAACCUGCCCUUCAGAGGGGGACAACAGUUGGAGACGACUGCUAAUACCGCAUACGAUCUAAUCUCGGCAUCGAGGAUAGAUGAAAGGUGGCCUCUACAUGUAAGCUAUCACUGAAGGAGGGGAUUGCGUCUGAUUAGCUAGUUGGAGGGGUAACGGCCCACCAAGGCGAUGAUCAGUAGCCGGUCUGAGAGGAUGAACGGCCACAUUGGGACUGAGACACGGCCCAGACUCCUACGGGAGGCAGCAGUGGGGAAUCUUCCGCAAUGGACGAAAGUCUGACGGAGCAACGCCGCGUGAGCGAUGACGGCCUUCGGGUUGUAAAGCUCUGUUAAUCGGGACGAAAGGCCUUCUUGCGAAUAGUGAGAAGGAUUGACGGUACCGGAAUAGAAAGCCACGGCUAACUACGUG